ensembl:snoRNA
AGAUGAUGAAAGUUAAACUGAAAAUAGCUGGAAUUACCGGCAGAUUGUCAGUGGUGAUAGCCAGUUUUCUGAAA